rnacentral:rRNA from 1 species
AUUGAACGCUGGCGGCAUGCCUUACACAUGCAAGUCGAACGGUAACAGGUCUUCGGAUGCUGACGAGUGGCGAACGGGUGAGUAAUACAUCGGAACGUGCCCAGUUGUGGGGGAUAGCCCGGCGAAAGCCGGAUUAAUACCGCAUACGACCUACGGGUGAAAGCGGGGGAUCGCAAGACCUCGCGCUAUUGGAGCGGCCG